CAUGCUUUCACCAGGCACAUUCACAGAUGAAGGACCUGCGUUCCAUCGCUCAUCUGAAGUCAUUCUAAUUCUCCAGUUGGAACAUUAUUCAAGAUAUAUGUAAACAACAUUCUAAAGAUUGAUUCAGUACAUCGUUUGACAUGUUUCUACUGACUGUUAUGGAACUUUGGGACAUUUUGUCACGUUACAGUGGACGCGCUUUGUGACUUUGGAAUUGUUUACCAAACGCGCUAACCAAAGUAGCUAAUUGGACAUAAAUGACAGACAUUUUCGAACAAAUCAAGCAUUUAUUGUGGACCUGGGAUUUCUAGGACUGCAUUCUGAUGAAGUUCAUCAAAGCUCUGUCUAUUUGUGUUACGCGGAGUGGAACAGGGGAACCCAAGAGCAGACUCAGGCGAGGAGACUGGGAUGAAGUAACCAAGCCCAGUCUCCUCUGCCUGCCCUGACCCUGAGCCUGCCUGCCGUUCUGUACCUUACGGACUCUGCCCUGGAUUACAGACCUCUGCCUGCCCUUGACCUGUCGUUUGCCUUCCUCCUGUUUUGACCUGAGCCCUAGGACCAUGCCCCAGGACUACCUGACAUGAUGACUCCUUGCUGUCCCCAGUCCACCUGGCCGUGCUGCUGCUCCAGUUUCAACUGUUCUGCCUUAUUAUUAUUUGACCAUGCUGGUCAUUUAUGAACAUUUGAACAUCUUGGCCAUGCUCUGUUAUAAUCUCCACCCGGCACUGCCAGAAGAGGACUGGCCACCCCACAUAUGCCCUCUCUAAUUCUCUCUCUCUCGGAGGACCUGAGUCCUAGGACCAUGCCCCAGGACUACCUGACAUGAUGACUCCUUGCUGUCCCCAGUCCACCAUACUGUGCUGCUGUUCCAGUUUCAACUGUUCUGCCUUAUUAUUAUACGACCAUGCUGGUCAUUUAUGAACAUUUGAACAUCUUGGCCAUGUUCUGUUAUAAUCUCCACCUGGCACAGCCAGAAGAGGACUGGCCACCCCACAUAGCCUGGUUCCUCUCUAGGUUUCUUCCUAGGUUUUGGCCUUUCUAGGGAGUUUUUCCUAGCCACCGUGCUUCUACACCUGCAUUGCUUGCUGUUUGGGGUUUUAGGCUGGGUUUCUGUACAGCACUUUGAGAUAUCAGCUGAUGUACGAAGGGCUAUAUAAAUAAAUUUGAUUUGAUUUGAAAUUUGAUAUUUCUUUAGACUCCAGGGUUUGAGGGUGGCGACAUCUCAACAUGGCCCUCAUAUUUUUUUAACGUUGAACAACAGUCUUUUGUUUGGUUUAGGAAUGGUGGCUAUAUUUGUUGGUAGAGUGGGGAGUUUCAGUUGUGGAGCAUCCAUAUUUCACUAUCUUGUCCAUUCUUCUCUUCAGCAUAUGAUCAAUCAGCUGGUAUCCGAAAGUCUGUGUGGUUGGUGUGUAAAUCUUCCUGGCCACCCACCCUUUUGACUGUUUAGGGUAUACAGAAUUGUACCUUGGGAUGCCUGAAAAACAACAGUCACACAUUUUAUGUCACAAUAAUUGUAUUUAGAUUUGUGGUGUCUCAUUUGGCUAUAACCAUGAAGAUAAAGACGCUACCAAGUAGGACAAUGACUAAUGAAGGACAUUUAUUUUUAGACGAAAUGGCUAAAGGAGCUGAAAGGAUGGUAAUUCACAAAACCUUUAUUUCAAUUAAGCUGUCCUGGUGAGACAGAACAUUUGUGUUUGUGUUAGAACUAAGGGCAGGUUCUGGAUUGGUUGAUUGGUAUUCAGAGUUGUGUGACUGCCUUUUGGCAUGUACUUCAGCAUUGCGUUGUGAAAUACUUCUAAAGGUCCUAAAAACAUGUUCAGAAGACCGUAGGUCCAGAUAGUCUGAGCCGGUUUGUAUUACCAUUUAUACAAUGGUUGGUUCUUAUCUUGAAUGCUGACUGGUUGAAACUGCAUUCCAGCCGGUGUCUAUUCGACAAGUUACCACUGGCUAAAUCUAUGAAGUUAAAAUGCCUAUUUCCUCUGUUCCAUCUGACUGCGCAAUCCACUGUCUCAUAAGCCCAGCUAGGCAAUUUAUAAACUUGAUCUCCAAUAUAAAAAGCAUCUAGACAUUAUCUCACAUUUAUUUUCAACAAAAAUGUUUUCAUUAGCGGAGAUUUGUAUAAAGCCUGCUGUUUGUCUUUCUGACAUUUGCAACAUUUUCAAUAUUCAAAUUCGAUCUCCAGCUGUCCCAUAGUAAUGAACAACUUUUUCAACUGCUUUGUAUAUAUCCAUAAAAACGUAUGCCAGCUGAUUCAUAAUUUAGACUGGCUGAAAAAGGCAUCGCGGAAGUCGCGAUGAGAAGUCACGAUGAGACAGACAGGCAGCCUUUUUUAGUCAGUCUAAAUUAUGAAUCAGCUGGCAUGAGUUUUUAUGGAUAUAUACAAAGCAAAGUCAGUUGAAAAAAAGGUCAAAUUAAAACAAAUUGCAGCUAGUUUGCAGUCUUUCAAGCUUCAGUUUGAAGUGAUUGUGUUAGCUGUGUUGUUGGCUAGCUUCUCUGAACAAUGGUCCCAAUGAGAGAGCACAUUUUCUAUUCCAGGUGCCUCAUUAGCACAUUGUUAUGGAUGUAUCCAAAUAAAUGUCACUAGAAAACAAAUGCAGCUACUGUUAGUUUGGCUGCAAUGUUUGACAUGACUGUAAGUUAGCCGUAGUUGGCUAGUUAGCAAGGAAAAUAUAAGAAUGUUGCCAGCCAGUAUGGCAAUGGAACAUUUAGAACGAACAACUGAGUCGCAUCCUUAGAUAGAGAACAAAAAGACUGAACAUGUCACGUUCUGACGUUUAUUUCCUUUGUUUUGUCGUUAUUUAGUAUGGUCAGGGCGUGAGUUGGGGUGGGCAAUUUGUUUUUCUAUGAUUUGGGGAUUUCUAUGUUUCGGCCUAGUAUGGUUCUCAAUCAGAGGCAGGUGUGAUUAGUUGUCUCUGAUUGAGAAUCAUACUUAGGUAGCCUGGGUUUCACUGUUUGUUUGUGGGUGAUUGUCUAUGUUAGUUGCUUGUGUCAUCACAGUUCUCAUUAUAGCUUCACAGUCGUUAUUUGUUUAUUGUUUUGUAUAGUUUGUAUUCAGUGUUCAGUGCUUUUUUUUCAUUAAAAACUUCAUCAUGAACACAUACCACGCUGCAUUUUGGUCCGGUCCUUACGACGAUUGUGACAUAACAACUGGCAACCGGACCUAUAGAAUGAACGACCAGCCGGCUUGUGUAGCAAUCCUAGAUAUGCGUCGGGACUAUAUCUUGUGGAUGGAUG
ensembl:lncRNA